rnacentral:tRNA from 1 species
GGAAAAAGUGGAGCCUUUCACUCCCUGCUAAGGGAGUAGGCGGGAAACCGUCUCGAGGGUUCGAAUCCCUUCGUCUCCGCCA